CGGCACGGGUGCGUAACGCGUGGGAAUCUGCCCUUUGCUUCGGAAUAACAGUUAGAAAUGACUGCUAAUACCGGAUGAUGUCUUCGGACCAAAGAUUUAUCGGCAAGGGAUGAGCCCGCGUAGGAUUAGCUUGUUGGUGAGGUAAGAGCUCACCAAGGCGACGAUCCUUAGCUGGUCUGAGAGGAUGAUCAGCCACACUGGGACUGAGACACGGCCCAG
rnacentral:rRNA from 1 species